rnacentral:ncRNA from 1 species
NNNNNNNNNAACCUGGGUGAUCUAUCCAUGACCAGGAUGAAGCUUGGAUGAAACUAAGCAGAGGUCCAAACCGACUGAUGUUGAAGAAUCAGCGGAUGAGUUGUGGUUUGGGGUGAAAUGCCACUCGAACCCAGAGCUAGCUGGUUCUCCCCGGAAUGCGUUGAGGCGCAGCAGUUGACUGGACAUCUAGGGGUAAAGCACUGUUUCAGUGCGGGCUGCGCGAGCGGUACCAAAUCGAGGCAAACACUGAAUACUAGAUAUGACCCAAAAAUAACAGCGGUCAAGGUCGGCCAGUGAGACGAUGGGGGAUAAGCUUCAUCGUCAAGAGGGAAACAGCCCGGAUCAGCAGCUAAGGCCCCUAAAUGACCGCUCAGUGAUAAAGGAGGUGGGGGUGCAAAGACAACCAGGAGGUUUGCCUAGAAGCAGCCCCUUGAUCCAGACUCCACGCCGUUUUCACGCACCGGAUUUUUCGGAAUGUUUCCAAAACAAAACAAAUCCGAAUUUCCCGCAGCAAAACAAAACUGCAAAAGGAGGCUGCAUCUGCGCAAGGUUGAGGAGCCAAUUUUGCGGACCAU